CCCGGUGACUCGAGCGACGAGGCCACACCUGUUCCCAUCCCGAACACAGUCGUUAAGCUCGUCAGCGGCGACAAUACUGCCGGGGCAACCUGGUGGGAAGAUAGCUCGUUGCCGGGA
rnacentral:rRNA from 2 species